rnacentral:rRNA from 1 species
UGAUGACGAGACGCUAAGGCGUUGAAGUAGUGUAUGUCAGGCUUCCAAGAAAAGCUCGCAAUGUCAUAGAUAAAAAAUGCCUGUACCAUAACCGACACAGGUGGGUAGGUAGAGUAUACUAAGGGGCGCGAGAUAACUCUCUCUAAGGAACUCGGCAAAAUGACUCCGUAACUUCGGGAGAAGGAGUGCCUUAUUUAUAAGGUUGCAAUAACAAGAUCCAAGCAACUGUUUAUCAAAAACACAGGUCUCCGCUAAGUCGUAAGACGAUGUAUGGGGGCUGACGCCUGCCCAGUGCCAGAAGGUUAAAGAAGUUGGUUAGUUUAUACGAAGCUGAUGACUGAAGCCCUGGUGAACGGCGGCCGUAACUAUAACGGUCCUAAGGUAGCGAAAUUCCUUGUCGGGUAAGUUCCGACCCGCACGAAAGGCGUAAUGAUUUGGAUACUGUCUCGGAGAGAGGCUCGGUGAAAUAGACUUGUCUGUGAAGAUGCGGACUACCUGCACCAGGACAGAAAGACCCAAUGAAGCUUUACUGUAACUUGAAAUUGGAAUUGGACUUUGCUUGCGCAGUAUAGGUGGGAAGCGUUGAAGAUACUCUUGCGGGAGUAUUGGAGCUAUCAGUGAGAUACCACUCUUGUAAUGUUAGAUUUCUAACUUUGAACCAUAAUCUGGUCAAAGAACAGUUUCAGGUGGGCAGUUUGACUGGGGCGGUCGCCUCCCAAAUGGUAACGGAGGCGUACAAAGGUUUCCUCUGAACGGAUAGAAAUCGUAUCUAGAGUGUAAAGGCAUAAGGAAGCUUGACUGUGAGACCUACAAGUCGAGCAGGGACGAAAGUCGGUCUUAGUGAUCUGACGGUACUGAGUGGAAAGGCCGUCACUCAACGGAUAAAAGUUACUCUAGGGAUAACAGGCUGAUCUCCCCCAAGAGUUCACAUCGACGGGGAGGUUUGGCACCUCGAUGUCGGCUCAUCGCAUCCUGGGGCGGUAGUACGUCCCAAGGGUUGGGCUGUUCGCCCAUGAAAGCGGUACGCGAGCUGGGUUCAGAACGUCGUGAGACAGUUCGGUCCAUAUCCGGUGUAGGCGCUAGAAUAUUGAGAGGAGCCUUCUUUAGUACGAGAGGACCGAGAAGGACACACCGCUGGUGUACCAGUUAUCGUGCCAACGGUAAACGCUGGGUAGCUAUGUGUGGAGUGGAUAACCGCUGAAAGCAUCUAAGUGGGAAGCCCACCUCAAGAUGAGUAUUCUCAUCACUAUAAGUGAGUAAGGUCACGGUAAGACUAACCGUUCGAUAGGCAUUAAGUGUAAGUACAGUAAUGUAUGUGCUGAGAUGUCCUAACAGACCGAGGACUUGAAUC